UUUAAAGAGAGUUUGAUCCUGGCUCAGGACGAACGCUGGCGGCGUGCCUAAUACAUGCAAGUCGAACGAACGGAGGAAGAGCUUGCUCUUCCAAAGUUAGUGGCGGACGGGUGAGUAACACGUGGGCAACCUGCCUGUAAGUUGGGGAUAACUCCGGGAAACCGGGGCUAAUACCGAAUGAUAAGGAGUGACGCAUGUCACUGCUUUGAAAGAUGGUUUCGGCUAUCGCUUACAGAUGGGCCCGCGGUGCAUUAGCUAGUUGGUAGGGUAAAGGCCUACCAAGGCAACGAUGCAUAGCCGACCUGAGAGGGUGAUCGGCCACACUGGGACUGAGACACGGCCCAGACUCCUACGGGAGGCAGCAGUAGGGAAUCUUCCGCAAUGGACGAAAGUCUGACGGAGCAACGCCGCGUGUAUGAAGAAGGUUUUCGGAUCGUAAAGUACUGUUGUUAGAGAAGAACAAGGAUAAGAGUAACUGCUUGUCCCUUGACGGUAUCUAACCAGAAAGCCACGGCUAACUACGUGCCAGCAGCCGCGG
rnacentral:rRNA from 1 species